UACGAAGGGGGCUAGCGUUGUUCGGAAUUACUGGGCGUAAAGCGUGCGCAGGCGGCUAUGCAAGACAGAUGUGAAAUCCCCGGGCUCAACCUGGGAACUGCAUUUGUGACUGCAUGGCUAGAGUACGGCAGAGGGGGAUGGAAUUCCGCGUGUAGCAGUGAAAUGCGUAGAUAUGCGGAGGAACACCGAUGGCGAAGGCAAUCCCCUGGGCCUGUACUGACGCUCAUGCACGAAAGCGUGGGGAGCAAACAGG
rnacentral:rRNA from 1 species